UUCAAAUAUUUCCAAAUAUACGUAAUGACCUAUCGAUCCUAUAGUCGUUCGAUAAAUUAUCGAUCUUACGAAGUCUCUCGAUCGAUACGUGUCACAGGGAGGUACAUGUCGGGGAGAAAGGAAAGAAAAAUCAAAAUGGCCGCAAUCGGCUGACUCGACGUUUCCUCCUCGUUAUAAAAAAGGAGUCGUGAAGCCGAUCUAAGAGGAGCCGAAGGAUUUUCUCGAGAAAUCGACGCCAUGUAUAACGAAAGGUGCGAUGUCGCUGGGCAAGAAGCCCAGCCGGAGAGGCUAUAGCAUAGAAAUGUAUUUAGUAUUUUACCGCCGCACUCUUUCUUUUCAUACUGGAAAUGCCCAAAAGGCCGGCUAAUCUCAUGCAGCCCCUACAGCCUGGAAGGAUGGUAAAGUCCAUGACAAGGAUCAAGAUCCAGUUUGAACGCACCGAUAAUCCAGUAUGGAAAAACCCCUGACUGUACAAUUUUCAAAAUACUUUAGCACAGCUCUAUAUACCUCUAUACUGUACGUGCUAAAGGUACAGAUAGGUCAACUAUAUAGAAAGUUUUAAAAAUACUUUUCAAAUCCAACUGGCCAGUAACAGCACGUGGCGAUCAAUUAUUGUUGGCUACAGCACCGAUCAAAAGGUCAUUGACUUUGGGUGGAUUUUCAAAAAAGAUAAAUUAUUAUUUAAUUUCGUUCUUGCCAAUAUCCCAAGGUACCUCGUGGCAUAGAUGAAGCAAGUUGCCAAAAUUUAUUACACGGCAAUUAUGAUCAUGUACCAAGUUCAAUGAUCGAUGAUUUCUCUACUUGAGCAUUUCAAAUUUUCAAUACUCAAAUACGAAUUUACGUGACGGCAUUUAACGGCGACGCAUCGCGAAGGAAACUGCAAUACGUGGUACGGAAAUAAGUUUCUACGAAAUUGCUAUUAUUAUUUCGUCGUUACCAAGUCUGGGGUUGCAAGCUCAAACCAAAGCGAACGAGUGCUUUCUCCCGUUCGAAAAAUUAGGUCAACCGGUCACCGUACGAGAACACGUUUCCUGAUAAGUUUUUCAAAAAUUCUUCAGGGUCGCCUCGAACAUAAUUUAAGUGCAGAAUAAAAUUUGCGAUUAGGUCACGUCGAUGCAAAAUCUUUGCACACGUUUAGUAUAUGCGUUAGUCGCUAAAAUAUAACAUAGCUUAAGAAAGGAACCCAAACAAUUUCUUAUGAAUAAUGAAAAUCCAAUUUCUUUUAACUAAAUUGGAUUUUCACCAAUAAAUAUUUUGACCCAAAACCGGGUAUAACCUUAAUUCUAAUGUAAAACCCGUGACCGAUAUCCUAUAUA